rnacentral:rRNA from 1 species
UGUUAGGGAAGAACAAGUACCGUUCGAAUAGGGCGGUACCUUGACGGUACCUAACCAGAAAGCCACGGCUAACUACGUGCCAGCAGCCGCGGUAAUACGUAGGUGGCAAGCGUUGUCCGGAAUUAUUGGGCGUAAAGCGCGCGCAGGCGGUUUCUUAAGUCUGAUGUGAAAGCCCCCGGCUCAACCGGGGAGGGUCAUUGGAAACUGGGGAACUUGAGUGCAGAAGAGGAGAGUGGAAUUCCACGUGUAGCGGUGAAAUGCGUAGAGAUGUGGAGGAACACCAGUGGCGAAGGCGACUCUCUGGUCUGUAACUGACGCUGAGGCGCGAAAGCGUGGGGAGCGAACAGGAUUAGAUACCCUGGUAGUCCACGCCGUAAACGAUGAGUGCUAAGUGUUAGAGGGUUUCCGCCCUUUAGUGCUGCAGCAAACGCAUUAAGCACUCCGCCUGGGGAGUACGGUCGCAAGACUGAAACUCAAAGGAAUUGACGGGGGCCCGCACAAGCGGUGGAGCAUGUGGUUUAAUUCGAAGCAACGCGAAGAACCUUACCAGGUCUUGACAUCCUCUGACAACCCUAGAGAUAGGGCUUCCCCUUCGGGGGCAGAGUGACAGGUGGUGCAUGGUUGUCGUCAGCUCGUGUCGUGAGAUGUUGGGUUAAGUCCCGCAACGAGCGCAACCCUUGAUCUUAGUUGCCAGCAUUCAGUUGGGCACUCUAAGGUGACUGCCGGUGACAAACCGGAGGAAGGUGGGGAUGACGUCAAAUCAUCAUGCCCCUUAUGACCUGGGCUACACACGUGCUACAAUGGGCAGAACAAAGGGCAGCGAAGCCGCGAGGCUAAGCCAAUCCACACAAAUCUGUUCUCAGUUCGGAUCGCAGUAUGCAACUAGCACUAAUG